rnacentral:rRNA from 1 species
AGAUAAGGAGCUUGCUCCUUUGACGUUAGCGGCGGACGGGUGAGUAACACGUGGAUAACCUACCUAUAAGACUGGGAUAACUUCGGGAAACCGGAGCUAAUACCGGAUAACAUAUUGAACCGCAUGGUUCAAUAGUGAAAGGCGGCUUUGCUGUCACUUAUAGAUGGAUCCGCGCCGUAUUAGCUAGUUGGUAAGGUAACGGCUUACCAAGGCAACGAUACGUAGCCGACCUGAGAGGGUGAUCGGCCACACUGGAACUGAGACACGGUCCAGACUCCUACGGGAGGCAGCAGUAGGGAAUCUUCCGCAAUGGGCGAAAGCCUGACGGAGCAACGCCGCGUGAGUGAUGAAGGUCUUCGGAUCGUAAAACUCUGUUAUCAGGGAAGAACAAAUGUGUAAGUAACUGUGCACAUCUUGACGGUACCUGAUCAGAAAGCCACGGCUAACUACGUGCCAGCAGCCGCGGUAAUACGUAGGUGGCAAGCGUUAUCCGGAAUUAUUGGGCGUAAAGCGCGCGUAGGCGGUUUUUUAAGUCUGAUGUGAAAGCCCACGGCUCAACCGUGGAGGGUCAUUGGAAACUGGAAAACUUGAGUGCAGAAGAGGAAAGUGGAAUUCCAUGUGUAGCGGUGAAAUGCGCAGAGAUAUGGAGGAACACCAGUGGCGAAGGCGACUUUCUGGUCUGUAACUGACGCUGAUGUGCGAAAGCGUGGGGAUCAAACAGGAUUAGAUACCCUGGUAGUCCACGCCGUAAACGAUGAGUGCUAAGUGUUAGGGGGUUU